AUACUGGUUUCUCUUCAGAUCGUAUAAAUCUUUCGCCUCUUACUAAAGAUUUCCGUGGAGUCAAUUUGACCAGGCCAAAAUCACUCAGUCUACUUUACGGCCCAGGCAGAAAU